UUUCUACAUUAAAGGAUCAGAAGAUGAAAGAUCUGGGUUUACUACCCAGAGUCACCUAUCCAGCAAAACUGAGUAUGUUCUUUCAGGGGGAAAUGGACAUUCAAUAAGAUGGAAGGUUUCCAAGCAUUACUGAGGAAUAAACCAGACCUAAACAAAAAAUUUUAAGUCCAAACAUGAGACCCAAGAGAAGCCUAAAAAGGUAAAUGAGAGAAAAUGUUUAGGGACUCAUUAAGGUGAAAAUGUUUCUAUUUUUACAUGGAAAAAGGAUAUCUGUAAUUCUCAAAAAUUACUCUUAGUAGUAGAGAAGAUAGAAGAUUAGAAAGGGGUGGGGAAGCUGAUCAUUAUGGUAUGAAGUAUGUAAUAUGAUAGGUAUGCAUGAUGGCAACCACUGAAGUUGGAGAAAGAAUUCUCAAUUUUUUAAGAUAACCUAGAUAAAUUUUGCAAAGCCACGUUUCUCCUGCCACAGCCUUUUGCCCCACUCUCCUUAUGAACUCUGAACUCUCUUCAGAGUUGCUGCCCUGCUCCUGCUGCGGUUUUUUCUCCCAUUUUCCCAACUGCCCUGCCCACUGGGCUACUUUAGUUUGAGUGACUUAGCCUGGGGCUCUUGGUGGAGAAGGGAUAAGCCACUUCUCUUGCCCCAAUCCAGACUCCUGCUGCUAAUUUCCAGCCGCCUGCUUCUGCUUCUGUUCCUGAUCCCAUUCCUGCUGCUGCUGUUGCCGAUUACUGCUGUUGCCGAUUACUGCUGCCACUGCGCCUCAUCUUUAGAACACACAAGCUGGGAAUCCUUGGAGCUCCUCUCUGGAUAGCAGGAGAAGGGAAUACAAAAAGAGCCACGACAGUGCCAAAGAAGCACAAAGCUAAACUGCAUAGUGACUAUCGAGCACAAGGUCAAAGAGACCAACCAAUUCCAGUGGGAUUGACAAAAUUUUGAGCCAAGACAAGAGGACUUGGAGUCGGAGGUUGCGGCUGGUUUGACACGUCAGAGGGAGGUCUUCCCUGAGACCUACAUUCUAUCAAGCACCUCACUUUGACUGCCUUCUUGGUUCCCAUAACCUAAUCCUUUUUCUUUCAUAAUGUGGCAAACUUCCUGUAGUCCUGGCUACUGAUUUGGGUAAGUACAUAAUCAUAUAAAAUCACUUUAAUUGGGCCCUGAUUCAAGGACCUCUGUUAUAGGUCUAUUUUUCUUUACUUAGAAUGUUUACACAUAAGACUUUGAUAUUCUAUAUUUAAAAGAGAAAUUAUUUUUUCUCUGG
rnacentral:lncRNA from 1 species